GGGGCUGUAGCUCAGUGGCAGGGCACUUGCUUCGCAUGCAUGAGGCAUUGGGUUUGAUCCUCAGCACCA
rnacentral:tRNA from 1 species